GCUUAGUAGUCAGUACUUCACAAAAUGGCCGGAGACCUGUUCGAAGAUUUGCCUCCUCCGGCUGCACCGCCGUCUUCCUCCAAUGGUGCUGCCGUCACUACUACGGAGACGUCGCCGGAACCACGACAACCUCUUCCUCCUGCCCCUGCUCCUGCUCCUGCUCUGAAGAGUGCCCUUAAACGUACUAAACCAUCUGCAGAAUCACAAUCUGAAACUUCUGUUCCUGAAAAACGAUUGAGAUUUAAAACAACCACCGAUGCUUCAGAGACACAAGUUAUUGAAGCCAUGCAAAAAAUAGCAUCACAUAUAAAGAACACUUCAAAGUUUAGCAAGG
rnacentral:misc_RNA from 1 species